GCAUAGAGAAAAGGAGACCGAUCGCUACGUACUAAAGCAUAGCCCGCCUGUCCCUAAAAACUUGUUUCAGCCACCAGUCUGCGCUGCUGACGGUAAGUUGCCUCUGUGAAGUUAGCUGUUUAUGUCAUGUGCUUAUGAGUACAAGUAAAUGAAGUUAGUUGAAUAAUGUAUUUUGUAAACAAUGUUUACAAAUUUUCUUUGCGGCAUUUGUGAGAAAAUAAUCGUGCUCCGUAAUUUUUUAAUUUUUGACCAAAAGAAACAUUACAAAAUGGUGAAACAUUGUAUUGUGCGUGGAUGUAAAAGAGAUUUAGCAUCUGAUCGCUAAAAUAGAAUGAAUUACUGAAAAACAAUUUGCGUCAAUCAUCUUUAUUCAAAGUACCAAACUACCAAAGAAUAACGUAUUGAGGGAAAAUGGGUAAAAGCUUUAUCACAACAAUUGACUCCAAAUCAGUUUUGUGUGAGAAGCACUUUCGCGAAGAAGAUAUUAAGAAAAUUGAUCGAUUGAUUAUUAAUGGAGCUGAAAUUAUCAUCCCUCGCGAAAGGUGGACUCUUUUGAAUGACAAUGUCAUUCCAAUAAACCCUCACGAUUUGGAAAAGGACAUUUCUGAAGAGCAAGUUCCAAUAGUGCAAAAUGACAUUAAUAACUGACCAAUCGAAAAACCUGGAUUAUACACAACCCUUGUUAAAAAUCGUUCAAGGUAACAAUUUAAAAGAAGAUUCUCAACCAGCAGGACCCCAUCAUAUGGAAUCACCAGAGAUUGUAACAGCUAAUAAUGUCAUUAUCUCGAACAUGUGUGAAUACCUGUAAAUGGCUUAGUCGAAAUGUACAUUUUGUACUCAUUUAAUGUCUUAUGUGCUGUUGGUGUUCCAAAUAAAA